rnacentral:rRNA from 1 species
GAUGAACGCUGGCGGCGUGCCUAAUACAUGCAAGUCGAGCGAACGGACGAGAAGCUUGCUUCUCUGAUGUUAGCGGCGGACGGGUGAGUAACACGUGGAUAACCUACCUAUAAGACUGGGAUAACUUCGGGAAACCGGAGCUAAUACCGGAUAAUAUUUUGAACCGCAUGGUUCAAAAGUGAAAGACGGUCUUGCUGUCACUUAUAGAUGGAUCCGCGCUGCAUUAGCUAGUUGGUAAGGUAACGGCUUACCAAGGCAACGAUGCGUAGCCGACCUGAGAGGCUGAUCGGCCACACUGGAACUGAGACACGGUCCAGACUCCUACGGGAGGCAGCAGUAGCGAAUCUUCCGCAAUGGGCGAAAGCCUGACGGAGCAACGCCGCGUGAGUGAUGAAGGUCUUCGGAUCGUAAAACUCUGUUAUUAGGGAAGAACAUAUGUGUAAGUAACUGUGCACAUCUUGACGGUACCUAAUCAGAAAGCCACGGCUAACUACGUG